UAGUUUUUUGGGACUUUGCUCCAAAUUCCUAUUUGAAAAGGACCUUUUUGCAAAAGGGGCAUAAUAAGUUAUUUCUUUCAUGCUUUCAGCUGGGCCCCUCUUCUUUUGGGUUAACAGGUUUUCUUUGGGACCGUGGCUUCUCGGUUCCUUAUAUAAGGCAGCAAGUUUUUUUUUUUAGGGUACUGUGAGGAAGGACCCUGAUCGCCGCCCCCUGCUCUCUUGCUCUCGGUCUUUUGCUCUUGGUGUUCCAGCUUCAAAAGACAUCUUCUUCCGCUCGCUGGGGACUCUUCAUCUUCAGCCGUGACUCCUCACAGUGGGCCUCUUGUUUCCGUGAACCCUCUUUCUUCUUUGCUGUUCACAGCAUAUGCAACAAGGGAAGGGUACUGUGAGGAAGGACCUUGAUCGCCGCCCCCUGCUCUCUUGCUCUCGGUCUUUUUCUCUUGGUGUUCCAGCUUCAAAAGACAUCUUCUUCCGCUCGCUGGGGACUCUUCAUCUUCAGCCGUGACUCCUCACAGUGGGCCUCUUGUUUCCGUGAACCCUCUUUCUUCUUUGCUGUUCACAGCAUAUGCAACAAGGGAAGGUAUGAUUUUGAUAUUUAUUUGAUCUACCAUUGGAGCCGUAGAAAGGUAGCUUUGCAUACUACACUUUUGAUCUAUCAUUGUGGCUGCAGAAGGGUUGAUCCGAUCAGGUUGUUUUGCCUUAUAUUUGGUUUAUUUUUGCCUCCUAUUGUGAUCAUUUGGCAGUCCAUAUUUUGGGCUUUUAUGUAUCUUUGUUUGUACCCUAUUGGGAAGAUUGACAUAGUGGAUUGCUCUUCCUCCCCGUGGAUGUAGGCACUUGCUGCCGAACCACGUAAAUCUGGUAUCUUUGUGCUUGUCUAUUCAUGCCUGUGAUGUGUUUGGUAAAAUGCCUGAAUGAGAGUAACUGUUAAUUGUUAAGCCGGAUAGAUUAAUUAUUGUGCCCAAGUAAUCACAACAAAAAUGUCUGCAAGUUCCUGAAUGAAGUGGUAGCAAAAGAAUAGAUCUCUAUCGUGGAAAAUGUAGACUUGUCAUAGAACAUCAUGGUAGCUUCUUGCUUCUCUUAUACAUUUGAUAGGAUCCUUUUGAGCUUAUACCAUGGGACAUGCCAUACUUGUGGCCACAGCGUACUUGAAUCUAGAGCUUGAGAGAGCAAUGGAGCGUUGAUUCUUUGUUGCCCAGGAUAUCACCCCAGACUGAAGACUUAUAGCAAAAACAGACGUGCAUCUUUUGUCGUCUGCAGAACCAAUACAAUCACAAUCAGUAUAAGAAACAAGCUUGAAUCCUUUACUUGUCCAUAUCAAAUUCCACAAUCCAGUGUUCCUAGGGCAUAUUGUAGUACUCUUUCAGCUGCACCAAGAUGAUCCUUUCUUGGAUUAUGAAUAAAUCUAGAUAACAAGUUCAUUGCACAAAUAAUACCUGUCUUGGAGGGAGUCAAAUAAAUCAGUCCUCCAAUCAAGUUUUCGCAGUACUUCUGGUUUACUUUAGCAAGUCCAUCUAAAACAAACUUUUCAUUUUUUAUUCAAGCGAGUUUUUUACAGGUUUAUAACUUGACUUAUAGAAUGUUAUCAAUAAAUCACAGGCAUAUUUUUCUUGGAAUAAAAAUUUUAUUAGCAUAUUGAAUAAUUUCAUCCCUGAAAAGAAAAUGUAAAACACCUAAGUUUGUCAUUUCAAAUUCUAACAUGAAAAUUUUCCCUGAAUUCGUUAAUAAUUCCCAUUAACAAAUAUCAUAUAAUUAACAUAAAAACAAACUAGGAGAAUUUUCAUACCUUCGGAUCUUACAAUGGAUGUUUGCUCACUUUUACUUUUUCUAAACUUGUUUUAAGGAAGCAUCUGUCAAUCUUACUAUACCGUGCCAUGGAUUCUAUUUUAGUCCAGAUAAAGCUUUCUUCAAAUUAUACACUUGAUGCUCCUUCCUUUUUACUUCAAAACCUAGAAGCCAUUGAACAUACGCUUUUCUUGCAACUCUCCAUUUCAAAAAAAAUGCAGAUACACCUACUAUCCCUUUUGUGUUUCCUAGGCUAACACGGUUUUCAUGGUAUCGAUUCCUGCAAUAGGAGAAAAUGUCUCCAUGAAAUCAAUACUUGGAAUUAAUGCAUACGCUUAAGCAAUGAACCAAGCUUUAUACCUUUAAAGUGAUCGAUUAAAUUGGAUUUGCAUUUGUAGAUCCAUUUGUACCAAUGACCUCUUUUCCUUGGGAUAGAUAAUUAGGUCUUCCUAUUCUGUUCCUUUCAAUCACAUCCAUUUCUUUAUAAUUGCAUCUUCAAAACAAGUAGAUUCCAAAGCAAAACUAGCAAAAUCACAAGAUUGAUAUAUAUAUCAACAAGACUUUGGAUUUUCCUUACGAGAGAUUCUAUGUCACUUGAGGAUGGAGAAUCAUGGUCAACAGGCAUAUAAUCAAUAGGAGAGGUCUAAUUACAAGGUCGAACCUCGCAAGAUGAGUCAACAUUCUAAUCUACAAUCAAAGAAGAAUUUUCUAUCCUAUUUCCCAAUUCCAUGUAUCAAUUUUGGCGAAAUAACAUCACGAUUGACGAUCAAUUUUUUAUCAACAACAUUAUAAAGUUUAUAGCCUUCUGUUUCAUCACUAUA